UCUUCAGCUAAUUUUAGUAUUUACACACAGCAUUAGCGUAACGCUAGCUCUCUUCAGCUAAUUUUAGUAUUCACACACAGUGUUAGCGUAACGCUAGCUCUCUUCAGCUAAUUUUAGUAUUUACACACAGUGUUAGCGUAACGCUAGCUCUCUUCAGCUAAUUUUAAUAUUCACACAGUGUUAGCGUAACGCUAGCUCUCUUCAGCUAAUUUUAAUAUUCACACAGCAUUAGCGUAACGCUAGCUCUCUUCAGCUAAUUUUAGAUUUACACACAGCGUUAGCGUAACGCUAGCUCUCUUCAGCUAAUUUUAGUAUUCACACAGCGUUAGCGUUACAGAACUUCACUUGAUAACAAACAGGGAAUCUAUGAAGGUGAAGGUAAAGAAUUUGGGGUCUUCUCUACUGCUCUCAGUGGACAGUGUUUCCAUUCUGCUGGAGGAGAGGGAGUCCGUUGUUCUCAGCAUUCUCCCGGAGCUGCUGAUUUUCUCUCCUCAGACGCACAUGCAUCACCAACAGGAACUCUGUAAAACACACACAGAGAGAAACGACCCUGUGCAGCCUACAGCCUUCUGUUCUUUCCACAUCAAACCUCUACAUCAUCCAUUAUUCCAGGAUUGACCAUCAACACAUCUGACUCAGUGUAGUGUGCACACUGG